AUUGAACGCUGGCGGCAUGCUUUACACAUGCAAGUCGAACGGUAACGGGCCUUCGUGUGCCGACGCGUGGCGAACGGGCGGGUAAUACACCCGAACGUGCCCGACCGAGGGGGACAAGGAGGGGAUAGCUUAGUUAAUAUCGCACACGAUCUACGGAUGAAAGCGGGGGACCGCAAGGACGUGCUCUGGCGGUGCGGUCGGUGGGGGAUCAGGUAGUUGGUGGGAGAAAAGAUUACCAAGCCGACGAUCUGUAGCUGGCCUGCGCGAGUGAUUAGCCACACUGGGGCGGGGACACGGCCCAGACUCCUACGGGAGGCAGCAGUGGGGAAUUUUAGACAAAGGGCGCAAGCCUGGUCCAGCCAUGCCGCGUGCAGGAUGAAGGCCUUCGGGUUGUAAACUGCUUUUGUGCGGAACGAAAAGCCUUCUUUUAAUACAGGGGGGUCGUGACGGUACCGUAAGAAUAAGCACCGGCUAACUACGUG
rnacentral:rRNA from 1 species